rnacentral:lncRNA from 1 species
ACUUACAUGCCGGCCAGUCCAUUUCCACAGCUUAGUUUUUUAUUACAAGAAUUUGAUUUCAGAGUUAAACGUUUGUUCCGUAGUCAUCAUCGUUUUUCUGUUCUGAUGGUGCUGCUCAUUUAUCCUUUAAGUGGUGGUUCAAGAGAGAGUUCGAAUAUUUGUCUUGUUUUGUUUUUCCAUUUCUUUUUUUCCUCAGCUUUCUUGAUUUUUCUGAUUAUUGUGGAGUUCGAAAAUUCCUUCUGAUUCCAUUAUGAGAUUCUCCCUUUGUUCUCCAGCCGCAGUUUAUCAGAGCGAUUAGAUUGCCUAAAUAUCGAUAGAAUUAAUAGUUCGGUUUCUAUUUUUCUCGUGGGUUUUGUUUUCGUCACUUCCCUAACCCUAAGUGGGGA